GAUGAACGCUGGCGGCGUGCCUAAUACAUGCAGGUCGAGCGAACAGACGAGGAGCUUGCUCCUCUGACGUUAGCGGCGGACGGGUGAGUAACACGUGGAUAACCUACCUAUAAGACUGGGAUAACUUCGGGAAACCGGAGCUAAUACCGGAUAAUAUAUUGAACCGCAUGGUUCAAUAGUGAAAGACGGUUUUGCUGUCACUUAUAGAUGGAUCCGCGCCGCAUUAGCUAGUUGGUAAGGUAACGGCUUACCAAGGCGACGAUGCGUAGCCGACCUGAGAGGGUGAUCGGCCACACUGGAACUGAGACACGGUCCAGACUCCUACGGGAGGCAGCAGUAGGGAAUCUUCCGCAAUAGGCGAAAGCCUGACGGAGCAGCGCCGCGUGAGUGAUGAAGGUCUUCGGAUCGUAAAACUCUGUUAUUAGGGAAGAACAAAUGUGUAAGUAACUAUGCACGUCUUGACGGUACCUAAUCAGAAAGCCACGGCUAACUACGUG
rnacentral:rRNA from 1 species